GCACUGCGCGGCUAGGGGAGCGCCCCGCCCCGCCCCGGCCCGGAAACCGCCGGGAAGGGGACCCCGGAGCCCACCGCUCUGGAGUCCCCGUUCGUGCAGCAGUGCUCACGUACCUCGUCCCUUCCGCACACCUGCUGGAUCUGGAAGGAAGCAGGAUAAGUUAAUGAGAUGUCCACCAGAGGGCCUGGCGUGGACACAGCACAUGGCCACAGAGGCUGGUGGGCGCUAUGGAAUCUUGUCCCCUGGAGAGGCACACAGCCAGGGCAGAACAUCAAGGUCAAGGCUCUCCUGAAGGCUCUGCAGUGCUUAGUGACACCACCAUCAAUGACCGUCAGGUAUCAGGAACAGGUGCUCUUCCUUGGUGGGGAAGAGCCUAGGUGUGCGACCUGCUGGCAGGAUACCUGGGCCAUCUCGUGCAGCCACUGGCUCCUUCCUCGCUCUCUUGGUGCUCCCUGUUCAACAGAGGCUUUUCCAGGCAGGGUGCAAACAGCCAGAGCUUAAUGAGCUUUUAAGAUUAGAGAUGCUAUUCGCCUGGGGUUGCUGUGCAGCCGAGACUGAGGGUGACUCAUGCCGAAUAUAUACUGCCUAGACAGUGACAAUUCGCAGCAUCUCUCACUACUAAACUACAAAAUGUUGUUCCCUUGCUCUCCCUCACCCUGGGCCAUCUGUUUGUCUCUAUUACUGGUUACACAGUACUGUCAGGGGACUUCUGCCCCCUCCUACAUGGCUCACUUCAGGGCUGCCACUCCACACAUUACAAACCUACACAUCUAAGACCCGGAACCAGCCCUUCUGUUCAGCAGCAACAUGUCCACCCCCAGCUCCAAGCUGGGGAGCGAAUUAAAGUGAUUAACAAAUGGUAAAUGGUGCUCAACGAUUUCAAUGAGUAAUUAAGAGAAAGAAAUGGAAGACCCAGCUGCAGAGGAAAUAUUAGGUAUUGAUAUAUGACAUUGUUAUAAACUGUCACGACUGUCACCUGUCACGUCACCUGUCAGUCAUGUCACAUGUCACUGUCACCUGUUGUCUGUCACUGCCACCUGUUGCAUGUCACCUAUUACCUGAACCAUCACCUGUUGUCACGUCACUGUCAUGUCGCCUAUCAUGUCACAUCACUCAUCUGUCCUGACACCUGUCACCUGUCACAUCACUAACGUCACGGGUCAUUUGCAUGUCCUUGGCAUGCAACAAACAUAUCAUGUCAUUGGUAUGUCACGUCAUUGGCAUGGCCAUGUAGUAAGCACAUCUUUAACAUGUAAAAAGCAGGCCAUCAGCAUGCUUUUGCCAUGGCUUCAACACAUAAGCAUGCCACAUGUUCCUGACAUGUAAGAGACAUCCUUAUUAUGUAA
rnacentral:lncRNA from 1 species